rnacentral:rRNA from 1 species
AAAACACUAUUGAACGCUGGCGGCAGGCCUAACACAUGCAAGUCGAGCGCCCCGCAAGGGGAGCGGCAGACGGGUGAGUAACGCGUGGGAAUCUACCUUUUGCUACGGAAUAACUCAGGGAAACUUGUGCUAAUACCGUAUGUGCCCUUCGGGGGAAAGAUUUAUCGGCAAAGGAUGAGCCCGCGUUGGAUUAGCUAGUUGGUGAGGUAAAGGCUCACCAAGGCGACGAUCCAUAGCUGGUCUGAGAGGAUGAUCAGCCACACUGGGACUGAGACACGGCCCAG